rfam:Asian citrus Psyllid, Diaphorina citri - Florida Strain, whole genome shotgun sequence.
GCCUAGUUAGCUUGGUUGGUAGCGCGUCUGCCUUGUAAGUACUAGGCCGCGGGUUCGAUUCCCACCCGGGGCG